UACGUAGGGUGCAAGCGUUGUCCGGAAUUAUUGGGCGUAAAGAGCUCGUAGGCGGUUUGUUGCGUCGGCUGUGAAAUCCCGAGGCUCAACCUCGGGUCUGCAGUCGAUACGAGCAAACUAGAGUGUUGCAGGGGAGACUGGUAUUCCUGGUGUAGCGGUGAAAUGCGCAGAUAUCAGGAGGAACACCGGUGGCGAAGGCGGGUCUCUGGGCAACAACUGACGCUGAGGAGCGAAAGCGUGGGGAGCGAACAGG
rnacentral:rRNA from 1 species